rnacentral:tRNA from 1 species
GUGAUUAUAAUUUAAUACAAAAUAUUAGAUUGUGGUUCUAAAAAUAGAAGUUAAAUCCUUCUUAUUCACCG